AGAAACUCUGCACUGAAAACGGGCUGGCUGUCCCUCAGAAGUGACGGUGUCCUGAAGUGGGGUAAUGAUAGCAGGAGGAUAAACUGGCAUUUCCUGAUCUGGAGACACGACUUCCGGAACUAAAGAAAGGGACCACAAGAUGCGUCAGGAUUAAAUCACCUGCAGACCUCAAAGAAGAAUGGAGCAUGUGGAUUUAUCUUAAUUCAUGUGGCAUCAGGGCACUUUCUGAAAGCUGAGCAGCAAUCCACUUGUAUGAGCUCCAGAUUGUAUUCAUAAAUGCAGUGGGACAACACACAAAAAGCGGGUUUCUUAGGUUUUAUUUUAAGCUGAGGCUAGCGAGGCCUUUCUACCUUCCACGGAGAGGGAAGCGGACGUCGUGGCUACUCCAUAGUCAUUCUUGGCUUCACAGGUAUAAACAGCCGCGUCCUCCGGGAAGGCUUCAAUUAGCAAGAGCGUGUACUCUUGCCCGUCGUGAAGGAAUUUGCACUUGAAGCCAGUGGAAAGCAGCUGCUCUUCCUUGUACCAGGAAAUUUUGGGCUGUGGUCUGCCAGAUAUCACAGCACAGAAGCGGGCAGGCUUGCCAGACUGCACAGUGACAGGCUGGAGCUCCUGCAGAAUUUGGGGUGGUUCUGGAGCUGGGAGUAAAUGAAAACAAACAGCUUGUGAAAAAACAUGACAACACAGGAGAGCACGUGAAAGUCUGUGUUCAUUUGUGGCCAGUGCCCAGAAACAAAACUUUGGAAUUAUGAUAACUUUACUUGCCUCAGAAUAUUGGAAUGUUCUUUGUGCUGGGAAGGAAGAAAACAUUUGGAAUUUUGUCCUCGAGGAGAGAGAAUAACUUUAGAAAGGUACUUCUAUUUGAGGCUUGGUGACGGGGUGUUGCUGCGAGUGUUGAACUUGUCAACAUAAGGUGAUCGCCCCUUUGCAUGUUGGGGUCUGGGUAGGGGUGCAGUGAUGCACAGUACCCUAAAAAAUGCUAGAACAGGGGUGCCUGGGUGGCUCAGUCAGUUAAGCGUCUGACUUUAGCUCAGGUCGUGAUCUUGAGGUUGGCGAGUUCGAGCCCCAUGUCAGGCUCUGCGCUGUCAGCACAGUCUGCUUUGGAUCCUCUGUUCCUCUCUCUCUCUGCCCCUCCCCCACUCAUUCUCUCUUUCUCUUUCUCUGUCUCUUUCUCUCUCUCAAAACUAAAAAAAUUGUGAGAACAACUGCCACGUGCUACCUAAUUUUACAUCAUUUGGACAAACCAUGUGGUGAUGUGGUUCAUUUCAUACUGGUUUGUUUUCCAAGUAUUUGUGUAUGUGUCAUAGUCAUUUCUUUAUAUAUAGGUGCCAAUGAAGCACAAUCAGUAACUACGAAGGUAAGAAUACAUGUUAUUCCAGAUCUAGUUAGAGGCAAUUAGGUAGAUUGAAAAAAAACUCACUUUCCUGCUAUCCUAAGUAAAGCAUCUUGUCUGUGUUGUGAUGAGAGAGGGGAACUAGCUAGUUUACUGAACACAGAAAUGGGGAGAAAGGACUCCUGUGAGGCUGGUUUCUGACCUUUACUUCUCUGUGCCUCAGUCUAUCCACCACUAAUACAGAAAUAAUAAGAACUGGAUAUCAUGAUCACUUGGUCUCCUAGGGACUGAGGGAAUGUUGGCAAUAUGGUUCAUUUUUAUUAACUUGAGAUUUUCCUAGAGUUCCUUCAUCCACCUCAGGGGUAUUUGUGCAGACAGAUAUGACUCAAAAUUAAAAUAGGGAUGAAUGGUCCAUUUUCUCUAUUUAGGUUAGUCUCAUUUCCAGGUCAGCUUCAAAUUCAGCUCUAAGGUUUGUAAUGAAGAAAGAAAAUGGUUUAAUGGCACCCCUCUGAGACUUUGGUAGCAUGUGGAAUUUCCCCUAAAAGUAAGAACCUAUGAUCCUAGGGCUUGGGGCAGAGAAAACCUAGUUGAACAUUGCCUGUGGCUGUCUAGGCCCUCUGGGGCCUCAAAGAGGACCUUUGGGUUUUCUCAAAGGAAAUGACCCUAUGGCUUGGUAAGUCUACUGGUACUUAAGCACUUGGGGCCAAGGGCAGAAAACUUGACCAGCUGAAUUCUGUAUCUAGAAACCCAUUAGGGGUCUAUUAUAAUUGACAUACAGUGGCUAUUAAGUAGUGUUGACCAACUCAAUGAAGAUCCAGCCACUAGGCACUUUCAAGAAAUGACAUCUUUAAGUCUUUUUAAUAGCUGCUGUCCCUUUACCAGGGAAUGAUGUGAAAAUAAAUGUAGUUGCAAGCAUACAAGGACCAUGGCUUCCCUAGAGAUUUCCCAGAAACCAUCAGCACUUUGGGAAGUUAAAGAAGAGGAUUACUCUAGCUGGAUUCACAAAACACAUCAAUAUCUCCACCUACCAUUGACAUAGAGUGUAACAGAACUCCUGUUCCUUCCUGCCACAAAGGUGUAUUCGCCAGCAUCGCUAUGCCUGGUCUCGGAGAUAAACAUCCUGUGGAUUCUUCUCUCCACCACAUACUGGUAUCGUUCUUGAAUUUGGAAGUUGAUUUCAAUGCCGUCUUUAUACCAGUGGGCGUCCACAUCAUCUUCGUUGACCUCAAACUCAACCACAGCACGUUGUUUCUCAAUAACCUUUUGAUGGAACAACAGAAAAAGAGAAUUGAAGCCCCGGUUUCCUUUCAGUUUUGACCUGUUUCUAAAACUGCUUAUUUCAAGAGUGUGCCAAACUUAUCCAUUACGAUAUAAAAAGCUGACUGGUUGUGUCACAUUCUGAUUUGUCCUGCAUAUCCUUGGACAAUUGGUGCCCUAACUUCUUCUGUAGAAAUCAUGCUUAUACCUGCACUGAGGAGGGAUGCUGCCCCCAAAGAGACCAUGUUCGAGUCCUUAAAUGUUUGCUUCUUAACUGAUAAUAACAGAAAUAAUGACACUUUAUGCCCAUGGGCUUUUUAUUUUCGACAAAGCUCUUCUAAGUUAGUACUCAAUUUGAUUUCAUGGAGUAGGAACAAGAAUCUACUGGGGUAGGUGGAAGCUAUUAUCCUCGUUUUUAAGAGUGAGGAAAUCAAGGUUCAGAAUCAGACAAUAAAGGACAGAAGAUUUAUUCAGGUGGCCUGAGUGGCCCGGUUCUCCUUAGAUGAGCAAUAUGAUAAAUCUGAACUCUAAUGACACUUCUCUUACCGUGUUAUCUCCAUUACAUCAUUUGAGAAGACUGGCCCUCAUGAGAAUAAAUUCUGCACAUGUGGUAGAGAGCAGAGGUGUCUGGCUCGGCAUAUUUGCUAGGAAUCCAGCUUUGCCCGCACCGGUCUUCCUCUUGGACCUCAGAGGAAGUGUUUCCAGCCAAGUCCCUACAUACCUGCCUCUCCAUAACAGAAGGCUUCUGAGGAAAUGCCACCUUGUUCUAAAUUCCCUGAGUUCUAGCUGCUGUGUAAACACCGCAACUUAAAUUUUCGUUCUUUUCUGGUUUGUGCGGCUUGGCAGGUGGCCAUUUGUUAGACAGUGAAGUUUCCACAGCUGCUUUAAUUAAAGUAUCUAGACAGCUGCUAAGGACACACCAUUUCCCUAAGUGAGGGAAAACUGUGACUAAAUUGAUGUCAGAUCAAGAGUCUAAGCCAGCAGGGAUCAGCUGUUUUCAUUCUUUAGAAGACUGUGCUUAGAAAAUUCUAAAGUUAAAAAAUUAGAAUACCAAACUAUGGAUUACGGGCUCCUGAUGAUGUCUCCCAAAAUUCAGCAUGUAGACAGUACCUGAACCGACUUUUUAAUACUCCGGAUGCGAACAUCUCUGCCCUCUACAAAGAGGUUAGCAGUGGAUAUGUUGCCUCCUGCCACCACUGCGUAUUGCCCGGCAUCAGACAUGCGGGUGGAUGGGAUCAGGAGGCGGUGGACGUAUUUCUCCUUCUGUAUCUUUAUUCUGUAGAUGAAAUGGAAAUUGAAGUUCAAUGCACAGUGACUCAAAGCAAACUGCGCAUUCCUUGAACGCGGCAAAACAAAACAACUGACCUAUCCACAAUCUGCAGUUCUUGGCCAUCUUUCAUCCACUGGACAGUGAUGUCAGGUUCAGAAACUUCACAUUCAAACAUGGCUCGCUUCUUCUCGAGAACCUUGAUGUCCUUAAUGUGUUUCCUAAAUUCUAUAUGACGAGCUGGGAAACAGCAUGCAAAAAAAUGAACCUUUCUAACAGCCUUAUGACAUAACUUAGUAUACAAUUCACCUGUUUAAAGUGUUCGAUUCAGUGGCCUUCAGUAUAGUCAGAGUCAUGCAACCAUUACCAUGAUCAAUGUUCGAAUAUUCCCAUUGCCCCAGAAAGAAACCACGCACCCCUCAGCCUUCACCCUCCAGACACCUUCUACUGUCUGCCCUCAGAUUUAGAGACAAAUCUGUGUCUCUACAGAUUUGUGUAUUCUGACAUUUCCUAUAAAUGGAAUCACACAAUAUAUGGUCCUUUGGGACUGGCUUCUUUCACUUAGCGUAAAGUUUUUAAGAUUCAUCCAUGUUGUAGCAUGUACCAGCACUGGCUUUUUAUUGCUAACAAUAUUUCGUGACAUGGAUACCCACAUUUUAUUUUUCCAUUCACUAAUUAGUGCACUGAUUAACAUUUCGCAUAGUGUAUUCACAUUUAUUUUUAAGGAUAGGACGUUUGUGAAACCAUACCUUCCACAUAAAGGGUGGCUGUUGAUGUAGCUUUUCCAGCCACAAAGGUGUACUCAGCUGCAUCCCCAAAGUGCACGUUCCUGAUGUUCAGUGAGUGCGUGAGCUUUUUGGUUCUCAUCUGGCACCUGUCAGUUGAUUUGAUUUCCACACCAUUCUUUAACCAUUUGUAUGAGAUGCCUUCAUAGUUCACGGUUACCUCAAAGGUAAUGGUGUCUUUUUCUUCAGCAUUGAUGUCUUUCAGCAUGGAUGUAAUCAUGAUUGCUGCAAAGGGGAAGAAAAUACACCCAAGGAGACUUUGUGUCAGCAUGAUGUGAGUUACAACAAGCACAGAGUGAAAACUAGGGAUGUGUUUAGUAUGUCUGCUAAGGUGGUUGUAGUUCAGGGAUAUGAACUGAACUGUGAGACCUUCCAGGUACCCCUCUACAACAGGACAAGGCCAAGCAGAAAGAGCUAGUGAUAGACACUAGAGCAUCUUUGUAGGUAGCCUUUCCAGGCUACUCUAAUCAGAAAAUUUUAAACAGGUAGAGAUACUAGUGCCUAACUCAGUGUGAACACAUAGUAGAUGUGUCAAUCAAGGAUUUUUGAGUGGGUUAACUGGUUAGGAAGGAAAGGUGUAGAAUACGGAAUAACCAGGAGUUUCCCGAAUAUUUUAUACAGCUUUUUUGGCUGUGUACUUACGGGUCACUUUCAGGGUGGCGCUGACUUGGUCAUUGCCACAGACAAAUGUGUAUUCUGCAGAGUCCUCUGUGCUGGUGUUCAUGAUGAUCAGCUGGUGGAGUUUCCCUUGCACGACUAUCUUGAACUUCUCACUCAUCUCAAUCUCCACGCCAUUCUUCAGCCACAUGGAAGGGACAUUGAAGUGGGACACCUCACACUCAAAGGAGGCAUUUUUCGUCUCAGGUACCUCAAUGUUUUUCAUGGUUUUUGUAAUAUGCAAUGCUUGGGAAAACCAAAGAGCAUUUCAGUUAGUAUAUUUUAUUUUUUAAAAAGUGGAUGAAACCAACCAACCAAAAAAUGAACACAGGCGGAUCAUCUAGGGAAGCGCCAUAGGGGGCUGUCUCAUACUUACUCUCCACGAAAAGUUUAGCUUUGCAUUCCAAUUGCCCCACCACGGCUGUAUAUUCCCCAGCAUCCGAGGGGGAUAUAUGCUGCAGCAUCAGUUUGUGGACCUUCCUUUCUGAGACCAGUCUGUGUUUGUCACUUGGCUUAAUCUCCACAUUCUUGUGGAACCAUUUUACUGGAACCGUGUCAUGGGAAACACUAACUUCGAAGGCAACGGUGGCAUUUUCCAAGGCGGUCACAUCUUUUGGCUUUUUAAUGAUCUUGACAGCUAAUGAGGAAAGUUGAAACAAUUCGAGGGAUAUGGGUUAACUUAGCGGUAACCAUUAACCGGCUACUUGUAAAGUGUUUCUGAAUCAACUUACUCUCAACGUGCAGUCUGGCACUGGCUCCUAGCUUUCCAAGCUUGAAGCCAUACACGGAUUCAUCCACAACAGCACAGUUUUUAAUCCUCAGAGUGUAAACUGUUCCUUUGACUGAGAUGUCAUACUUGUCAUUGGAUCGUAGCACAACCCCAUUUUUGAUCCAUUGGACACCCUUUACGUUAGGGUGUGUGAGUUCCACAGUGAAAACGGCAUCCUGUGUCUCUGUCACCGUGAGGUUCUUCAGAGUCUUCUUAAUUUUGACAGCUGGAGACAAAUUUAUGAUUGAUUUAGGAAAUAAAGAUGGUAUCAUCAAGUAAAAGAAUUCCUGGAAUGAGAUCAUUACCUGGUCAUCUUGCAAAAGAACGGUUAUCAAAACUUUUGUGGUUUAUGCAGCACCUCUAUUUUAAAAGAUACCUUGAGAUUAUUUAUGAAAACCUGGAAUCCAGUUUAAAAUGUACAGUGUGCAAUGAUUUUUCUACACUUGAAAGAGAUGAAGUUUGCACAGCUGUAUAUUAAUAGCUUAACAGACUGGAGAAGAACAAAAGAAGGGUGGAGAAUGAGAGCAUCUCAUUAAGCUGUUCCUCCAAGCUGGAACCUAAGAAAUGGCUUCUGCACAGAAACACAUCUUAUAAGCAUUUUGCGCCCUGUGGUAUAUGGCUUAGAAAGUUUGGAGAGUUUAUAAUGAUUUUAUGAAAUCAUGAUUCAUGACAUCCAAAAUAAUUAUACCAUUGACUUUUAAAACGAGAACCAUCAAGACCGUAAUAUAAUGUGGAAUGGAUAAAUCUGUUAUUAUAUCACUAACCUUCAACUUUGAGUUUGGCAGAUGUUUUGGAGGUGGCCACCUUGUAGGUAUAUUCUCCCAUGUCAUCUAAUUUGGUGGCAGCAAUGAUCAGUCUCCUUUUGUGGUCAUCAGAUUCACUUCUGAUAUUGUUACUCAGCGGUAGGUGUUUGCCAUCCUUCAGCCAUUCUCCUUCAGCAUCUGGGUUGGCAACUUCACAUUCAAACACAGCUUCCUGUGAUUCAGCCACAGUCUGAUCGGUGAGUGGCUUGGAGAUGGCCCCCCCUUUGGAACAAGAGAAGUACAAGUGUGAGUCCUUUAAAAAAAUAUUUAUACAAAAAGGAAAUCUUUGCACAAUUAAAUAUAAAAUCAAAUUUUAAAACAUGAUUUUGAAUAUAAUGACUGUCUAAUAGAAUUAUCGUUGCCCAUAUUGAGAAGAUAUCACAGAAACCCCUACUCUAAGUUUGCAUAACUGAUAAGGAAAAUACUGGAAUCAGGAAGGUUUUGCAAAGGGAAAGCAACCGGUAAAUUAAUACUGAAUUCUAAGAACCAUACCACAUGGAUGGCCUCUAACUCAAUUCCUUCUUCAAAAGCAUUCUACCUAGUCUUCUAAGGAUUGUUUCCUGCAAAUGUGUCUAAUAUUUGAUUGGGAAAAGAUGUGCUAAACAAAAUGUACAGUCAUCAAUGUUUCUAUAAGGUAAGAGAUUCUUAUGUACUAAAAAAUCACUAUUUUAACAACUGCCAUCUCUUUUAUGAAGCUUCCCCCUUUGUCUCCAUGGCCAUCAUUCACCGGCAGAAAAAAAUUACUCCUUCAGCAAGUUAGCUGCUGAUGUAUCUGUCCCUCUCUAAAAAUUGUGAAUUCCUCAAGAAAAAAUAUCAUGCCUCAUUUGUUUUUGUGUCCUGUGCUUCUAGCAGUCCUUGCCUAUGGUAGAGCCUUAAAAAAUGUUGAGUGAAAUAAUAUAAGGGCUCAUAGUUUUUUCUUGUUUGCACACAUUUAAAAACAUGCAAUUUAUAUUACACAUGUCAGAGUGCAGGAUCCAAAAUUUUGUUUCAGGAGUGUUUUUCAUAGUCAAAUAUCUGCAGAAAUAUUAUAAUGUAAUAAAGUAUAAUCUAGGUAACUCAUAUGAAGUGGGACACACAAUUCCCAUAUGGACUACACAAUUUAAUCUCGAUGUCAUAUCUCAACUCCUCAGUAAUUAAAUUGUAAUAAACCAAGCAAAUUAAUGAUGACUUCUAGUUUUUUCUUAGCAGUUGAUUUAUGCUUUUGGUUCUCCAUUUUGAAACUAGGGAUUUCUGCUGAAUGAGAAUGGUCUACUUCAUGUCACAAGAAAGAGAUAUAUAGAUACAUUGAGUUAUAUUUUAAAAUUUUCACUGGGUUCAUAAAACAAGUAUGAAGGGAAAAAAAGAAACAAAAGUUGAAGAAAUAAGAAUGAUUAAAAAAAAAGAAAUACACCUUUAGAGUAGGAAAGUUUAAAUAAAGCUCAGUUCAACAAAUGUUUACUGAUCAUCUAUCACGUGCAAUAUGUUAGAGAACACAGAUGGGAAAGAAGCAAAAUUCCAGAUUGGAAGAGUUUAUACUCUGGUGUGAGAAGAAGAAAUGGGCAAUGAGAAAAGUAUGUGAUAAAGGCCAUGGAAGAGACACACACAAAAUAAUCCUGAGGUUGUUGGAGUAAGAUCUUACACAAAUGGGAAAAUUAAGGAAGGCUUCACAAAAAGAUGGCAUUUGAGGUAGGUCUCCCUAGAAGCACAUGGUGGGGAAAGUGUUGAGGGGACUCCUGACUUUGAGAACAGCAUAAGCAGAGGCAUGGAAGAAGGAACCUGAUGGGAAUUUGGAAGGAAAUGGGCCACAAUUUCUUAAAUUGAAAUAAGUACCCCACAUAAGAACUCAGACUGAAUGACAAAUGUACCAACCUGCCACAGUAAGUUUUCCAGAUGUCAUAUUUUCUCCAGCAAAAAAUGUAUAUUUUCCUUCAUCAUCUUUCAUCAUAUUUAGAACUGUCAGCUUAUAUAUUUUUCCAUGAGCUUCAAUUUUAUAUUUGGAACUGGGUGUGAUUUCUUUGUCCUUAAAAUUCCACAAAACAUCAAUUCCUGAGUGGGAUAGCUCAACUUCUAAGACCACAUUUUGGGUUUCUGUACAGGUAAGGUCACGAAGACCUCUGAUAAUUUUAAUUUCUGGGGAAAAAGAAAAUAAACACUUGGUUAAUAUUACACUGGGAAAAUAGAAUGCUUAAAACAAUAAUAAGUUAAAUGGAAGAAUCCUUACUUUCCACAGAAAGAUCACAGCUAGUUUCGACUCUGCCAACCAUCAGCUUGUAAGGUCCUUCAUCUGAGGCGUGGGUCCGGUUAAUCACUAGUCGCUGCUUAGUGCCUUUGACGAUGGCUUGUACACGAUCAUCAGGCUUGAUUUGUUCAUCAUUUAAGUACCAUUUAACAGAAGUCACAUCAGGGACUGAUACCUUGCAUUCGAGCACAGCCUUGGUACCCUCAAUCACAUUAACAUCCUUCAGAGGUGUUAUCACUUCAACACCUGCAAAACCACACAGACACACACACACACACACACAAUUUAUUAAUGUGAAUUUUGUUUUAAAUGCCUAAUUAAAGUUUUCUACCUCACUUAAAAAUAUACACAUAAAAAUACGUAAGUUGACUCACUGUAGACAGAGACACGCCCACUGGUUGAUAGUCCAAGGGAUGGAAUGGUGAAGGAGUAAUUUCCAGCAUCCUCCUUAGUCAUGUCUUCAAUAAGCAGCAUAUGUGACUGUUUGUCUAUCACAAUGUGAACCCUGUCACUGGGCUGUACUUCUUGGCCAUCUUUCAUCCAGACACCUUCCACAUUCUCUAAGGAGACCUUAACUUCAAGCUGAACAAUGUCACCUUCACAGACUUUUUGAUCACUAAGUCCUUGUAGAAUAGCAAUGGGACGGGCUGUGAAAUAUGGGGAGAAAAGUGAAAGUUAUGAUCAUUUCUUAUCAAUAAGCCAUAAUGAUAUUCCCUUCAGGCCAAAAACAACAGGCAGACUUACGUUUCAUCUUUAGUUUACAGGUUGUCUUUUUCCCAUCCACAACAAAGGUGUAUUCUCCCUGGUCCUCUUUGGUCACAUCCUUAACUGUGAGGUUCUGACGUCCACGACGAGAUGUAAUUGUGUAUUUACCAUUGGACUUCAGCUCCACACCGUUAUGAUACCAUUUGCCUUCUAUAUUUUCUGGGGAUAUAAUGCACUCUAACUCUCCUGAAAACGAUUCUGGAACUUCUAUAUCCUGAAGUUCCUUCACAAACUCAACAACUGCACCUGAGGCAUAAGAUAAAGAGAAGUUAAUUUUUCUUGAGAGUUACACAUCUAGACUUAGGGUAGAAAAAAUUCCUUGUAAGUCUCUCAAAUCCCCCCAUGCUAUCAGGAAUAUUCUUAAUGUGUACCUGCUGAUGAACUGAGGAAUAUAUUUUCAAUAAAAAAAGUUAUUUUACUUAAAAUUUU
rnacentral:lncRNA from 1 species